rnacentral:rRNA from 1 species
UACGAGGGGGGCGGGCGUUGUUCGGAAUUAUUGGGCGUAAAGAGCUCGUAGGCGGCUUGUCACGUCGGGUGUGAAAGCCCGGGGCUUAACCCCGGGUCUGCAUUCGAUACGGGCAGGCUAGAGUGUGGUAGGGGAGAUCGGAAUUCCUGGUGUAGCGGUGAAAUGCGCAGAUAUCAGGAGGAACACCGGUGGCGAAGGCGGGUCUCUGGGCCGAUACUGACGCUGAGGAGCGAAAGCGUGGGGAGCGAACAGG